ACAGUACUUAUCUUUCAUGUCCUGUUCUUUACUUUCCUUUCUAUGAUACUUCUAAUAUUUUGAUAGAACAAUUGAUACACGUGUUUUUCUUUUGGGGAUAUAAAAUUAAGGAGUUCCAUUUCUGUUAUCCAUAAAGCAUGUAGAAGUAUUGGGCAGGUUAUAGGUAAAUCUGCAAGGGAAAUUUGCUUGAAACUUCUAUAAGUAAUGAAGCCAAUUGUUUCAUGAUAUGCGAACCCCUAUACCAAUAAAAUAACCUUUUAAAGGAACUUAUUUGCAGGAAAUCAGUUUGUUAUGUGGCAAUAAACUUUGUUGUCUUGUAAAUGUCACAGCGACCUUAAUGGAAUGUGUUCAGGCAGAAGCUGUUUGACCAUAAUUUGGAGUAUUAUUGGUACACUUUUGAUUUUGGGAAGUAUAAGGGAGAUGUUUUAUUGCAAUAAUGAUGCAUGUCAAUUUGCUGAUAAAAAUAAGGAGCAGAAAAGAUGAGAACAGUCUAUGAUCCCCUAUUUAUCCACCUGGAUGUGGAUGGAGUUUCUUAAAUGGACCCAGCAAACACUCUAUAGCUUCUCUUUUUUUUUUUUACUGUAGUUUUCUCUUUUGUUUAUUUUUCAUUUACCUUUUUACUUUUUCUCUUUCGUAUGAAACAUUUUAGUUUUUGGUGCGACAUAAUUGGAAUGGAGACUGUUUUAAGUUUAGUGGUUGGAUUUAAAACCUGCGUUAUGUGAGCAGAGUGGGGAUACCAAUAGAGAAGAAAAGUUGUGUAGACAAGUUUAAUUUAUAACCGCAAGUACUUUAUCAUUGUUGGGCCUCUCUUACAUGCUGUUUUUUGUACUAGUACAAUGAAGGUGCUCC